rnacentral:rRNA from 1 species
GACAGAGGGUGUAAACGUUGUUCGGAAUUACUGGGCGUAAAGCGCGUGUAGGCGGCUCUGCAAGUCGGAUGUGAAAGCCCUGGGCUCAACCUAGGAAGUGCACUCGAAACUGCAGAGCUUGAGUCUCGGAGAGGAUCGCGGAAUUCUCGGUGUAGAGGUGAAAUUCGUAGAUAUCGAGAGGAACACCGGUGGCGAAGGCGGCGAUCUGGACGAUGACUGACGCUGAGACGCGAAAGCGUGGGGAGCAAACAGG